UACGUAGGGCGCAAGCGUUGUCCGGAAUUAUUGGGCAUAAAGAGCUCGUAGGCGGCCUGUUGCGUCCGCUGUGAAAUCCCGGGGCUCAACCCCGGGCCUGCAGUGGAUACGGGCUGGCUAGAGGCAGGCAGGGGAGAACGGAAUUCCUGGUGUAGCGGUGAAAUGCGUAGAUAUUGGGAGGAACACCAGUGGCGAAGGCGGCUGCCUGGACCGGUUCUGACGCUGAUGCGCGAAAGCGUGGGUAGCAAACAGG
rnacentral:rRNA from 1 species